UUAGCCAAGAUCGCGCCACUACAUUCCAGCCUGGGCAACAAGAGCGAAACUCCAUCUCCAAAAAAAAAAUUGAUGCAGAGCCUGAAGAAUUUGUAGUGGAAAAAGUACUGGAUCAAUGUGUGAUGAAUGGUAAGGUAGUGCAUUUCCUGAUGUGGAAGGGAUUUAUAGAUGCUGAAAGUACUUGGGAACCUGAAGAAACUUAAGCUUGUCAAGAGUUACUUGGAACAUUUAAUUCUCAAAAAAGCUGUUAAAGAAAAAGAUGAUACAAGAAGAAAAUAUUUACCUGACAGUUGGAUAACAUAAAAUCAAGGAAAGAGAUACUGCAGACAAACCAAGAGACCUUGAUCCUGAAAAAAAUAAUUGGCUAUGCAGACAGCAGUGGAGAAUUGAUGAUACUCAUGAAAUGGAAAAUUCAGAUAAAGCAGACUUGGUGUUAGCAAAAGAACAAAACAUGAAGUGUAUAUAAAACCGGGCUCUUGCUUUUUGCUUUACUAAUGUGAAGAAAUAGCUGCAUUCUAAUAAAAAUCAA
rnacentral:lncRNA from 1 species